rnacentral:rRNA from 1 species
AGAGUUUGAUCAUGGCUCAGGACGAACGCUGGCGGCGCGCCUAACACAUGCAAGUCGAACGGGAUCCGCGUGCUCGGCACUGAGCGCGAAGAGUCGGUGAAACAAGUAGCCGACAGCGUUAUGCGAGAGGAAGGUAUUACGCUGCGACCUAAGUUGAUAGUAGAAGGAUAAUUUGGGAGCAGGGGCAUGUAAGAACCGAAACUCGAGCAUCACGCUUUUCCAAGUGAAUAGCACAUGCAAAAACUUGGGCGCUGAGUGUUGAGCACGCGGUGAGAGUGGCGGACGGGCGAGUAACGCGUGAGCAACCAACCUUGCACUGGGGGAUAACGUCGGGAAACCGGCGCUAAUACCGCAUGACAUUACUGGAUCGCAUGGUCUUGUAAUCAAAGCUCCGGCGGUGCGAGACGGGCUCGCGUCCAAUUAGCUGGUUGGCGGGGUAAAGGCCCACCAAGGCGACGAUUGGUAGCCGAACUGAGAGGUUGAUCGGCCGCAUUGGGACUGAGACACGGCCCAGACUCCUACGGGAGGCAGCAGUGGGGAAUCUUGCGCAAUGGGGGAAACCCUGACGCAGCGACGCCGCGUGAAGGAAGAAGGCCUUCGGGUUGUAAACUUCUUUGAUCGGGGACGAAGCAGACGGUACCCGAGGAACAAGCCACGGCUAACUACGUGCCAGCAGCCGCGGUAAUACGUAGGUGGCGAGCGUUGUCCGGAAUUACUGGGCGUAAAGGGCGUGUAGGCGGGGGUAGAAGUCAGGUGUGAAAUACCGCGGCUCAACUGCGGGGAUGCAUCUGAAACUCUGCUUCUUGAGUGUCGGAGAGGAAAGCGGAAUUCCCAGUGUAGCGGUGAAAUGCGCAGAGAUUGGGAGGAACACCAGUGGCGAAGGCGGCUUUCUGGACGACAACUGACGCUGAGGCGCGAAAGCGUGGGGAGCAAACAGGAUUAGAUACCCUGGUAGUCCACGCUGUAAACGAUGGAUACUAGGUGUAGGAGGUAUCGACCCCUUCUGUGCCGGAGUUAACACAAUAAGUAUCCCGCCUGGGGAGUACGGCCGCAAGGCUGAAACUUAAAUGAAUUGACGG